rnacentral:misc_RNA from 1 species
AACUCUCACCUCCAGCCUUCUUUAAUUAGAGGUGUUGGGGCGUGGACGUGAGUGCUGCUGGUGCCCUGGUUGCAUCGGCUCACUUGAAAUACAUUAGCUGAAUCCUCUAGAGGUGGUUCUACUCGACGUGAUAAGAUCUCCGUCGAGGACAGUGCAACUUGUUGUGCUGGCCGCCGCUAGCAGUUGAUACGCUUCUAAUUAGCGCAGACUUCGAGUGCUGGCAACUUUUGACA